rnacentral:rRNA from 1 species
AUUGACCGCUGGCGGCAGGCCUAACACAUGCAAGUCGAGCGAGCGGCGGACGGGUGAGUAAUGUCUGGGAAACUGCCUGAUGGAGGGGGAUAACUACUGGAAACGGUAGCUAAUACCGCAUACCAUCAGAUGUGCCCAGAUGGGAUUAGCUAGUCGGUGGGGUAACGGCUCACAUAGGAGACGAUCCCUAGCUGGUAUGAGAGGAGGACCAGCCACACUGUAACUGAGACACGGUCAAGACUCCUACGGGAGUCAGCAGUGGGGAAUAUUGCACAAGGGUCGCAAGCCUGAUGCAGCCAUGCCGCGUGUGUGAAGAAGGCCUUCGGGUUGUAAAGCACUUGCAGCGGGGAGGCGUUACCCGCAGAAGAAGCACCGGCUAACUCCGUGCCAGCAGCCGCGGUAAGAC